AUACGGAGGAUCCGAGCGUUAUCCGGAUUUAUUGGGUUUAAAGGGUGCUCAGGCGGGCGAUUAAGUCGGCGGUGAAAUUUUGCGGCUCAACCGUAAAAGUGCCUUCGAAACUGGUCGCCUUGAGUGUGGAUGAGGUAGGCGGAAUUUGUGGUGUAGCGGUGAAAUGCAUAGAUAUCACGAGGAACUCCGAUUGCGCAGGCAGCUUACUAAACUACUACUGACGCUCAGGCACGAAGGCGUUGAGAUCAAACAGGAUUAGAUACCCUGGUAGUCCACGCAGUAAACGAUGAUUACUAGCUGUGUGCGAUACAAUGUAAGCGGCUGAGCGAAAGCGUUAAGUAAUCCACCUGGGGAGUACGUUCGCAAGAAUGAAACUCAAAGGAAUUGACGGGG
rnacentral:rRNA from 1 species